GUCGAACGGCAGCGCGGGAGCAAUCCUGGCGGCGAGUGGCGAACGGGUGAGUAAUAUAUCGGAACGUGCCCAGUAGUGGGGGAUAGCCCGGCGAAAGCCGGAUUAAUACCGCAUACGACCUGAGGGUGAAAGCGGGGGAUCGCAAGACCUCGCGCUACUGGAGCGGCCGAUAUCAGAUUAGCUAGUUGGUGGGGUAAAGGCCUACCAAGGCAACGAUCUGUAGUUGGUCUGAGAGGACGACCAGCCACACUGGGACUGAGACACGGCCCAGACUCCUACGGGAGGCAGCAGUGGGGAAUUUUGGACAAUGGGCGCAAGCCUGAUCCAGCAAUGCCGCGUGCAGGAAGAAGGCCUUCGGGUUGUAAACUGCUUUUGUCAGGGAAGAAAUCUUCUGGGCUAAUACCCCGGGAGGAUGACGGUACCUGAAGAAUAAGCACCGGCUAACUACGUGCCAGCAGCCGCGGUAAUACGUAGGGUGCGAGCGUUAAUCGGAAUUACUGGGCGUAAAGCGUGCGCAGGCGGCUUUGCAAGACAGAGGUGAAAUCCCCGGGCUCAACCUGGGAACUGCCUUUGUGACUGCAAGGCUAGAGUACGGCAGAGGGGGAUGGAAUUCCGCGUGUAGCAGUGAAAUGCGUAGAUAUGCGGAGGAACACCGAUGGCGAAGGCAAUCCCCUGGGCCUGUACUGACGCUCAUGCACGAAAGC
rnacentral:rRNA from 1 species